rnacentral:rRNA from 1 species
ACAUUACCUAUAUAGGAGCGAACGAGGGGAAUUGAAACAUCUUAGUACCCUCAGGAAAAGAAAUCAAUAGAGAUUGCGUCAGUAGCGGCGAGCGAAAGCGCAAGAGGGCAAACCCAGUGCUUGCACUGGGGGUUGUAGGACUGCAAUGUGCAAGAGGUAAGUUUAGCAGAACAUUCUGGAAAGUAUAACCAUAGAGGGUGAUAGUCCCGUAUGCGAAAAACAAACCUUAGCUAGCAGUAUCCUGAGUAGGGCGGGACACGAGGAAUCCUGUCUGAAUCCGGGUCGACCACGAUCCAACCCUAAAUACUAAUACCAGAUCGAUAGUGCACAAGUACCGUGAGGGAAAGGUGAAAAGAACUGAGGUGAUCAGAGUGAAAUAGAACCUGAAACCAUUUGCUUACAAUCAUUCAGAGCCCUAUGUAGCAAUACAGGGUGAUGGACUGCCUUUUGCAUAAUGAGCCUGCGAGUUGUGGUGUCUGGCAAGGUUAAGCAAACGCGAAGCCGUAGCGAAAGCGAGUCUGAAUAGGGCGCUUAGUCAGAUGCUGCAGACCCGAAACGAAGUGAUCUAUCCAUGAGCAAGUUGAAGCUAGUGUAAGAACUAGUGGAGGACUGAACCCAUAGGCGUUGAAAAGCCCCGGGAUGACUUGUGGAUAGGGGUGAAAGGCCAAUCAAACUUCGUGAUAGCUGGUUCUCUCCGAAAUAUAUUUAGGUAUAGCGUUGUGUCGUAAUAUAAGGGGGUAGAGCACUGAAUGGGCUAGGGCAUACACCAAUGUACCAAACCCUAUCAAACUCCGAAUACCUUAUAUGUAAUCACAGCAGUCAGGCGGCGAGUGAUAAAAUCCGUCGUCAAGAGGGAAACAACCCAGACUACCAGCUAAGGUCCCUAAAUCUUACUUAAGUGGAAAACGAUGUGAAGUUACUUAAACAACCAGGAGGUUGGCUUAGAAGCAGCCAUCCUUUAAAGAAAGCGUAAUAGCUCACUGGUCUAGUGAUUUUGCGCGGAAAAUAUAACGGGGCUAAAGUAAGUACCGAAGCUGUAGACUUAGUUUAC